AUUGAACGCUGGCGGCAUGCUUUACACAUGCAAGUCGAACGGUAACAGGUCUUCGGAUGCUGACGAGUGGCGAACGGGUGAGUAAUACAUCGGAACGUGCCUAGUAGUGGGGGAUAACUACUCGAAAGAGUAGCUAAUACCGCAUGAGAUCUACGGAUGAAAGCAGGGGACCUUCGGGCCUUGUGCUACUAGAGCGGCUGAUGGCAGAUUAGGUAGUUGGUGGGGUAAAGGCUUACCAAGCCUGCGAUCUGUAGCUGGUCUGCGAGGACGACCAGCCACACUGGGACUGAGACACGGCCCAGACUCCUACGGGAGGCAGCAGUGGGGAAUUUUGGACAAUGGGCGAAAGCCUGAUCCAGCAAUGCCGCGUGCAGGAUGAAGGCCCUCGGGUUGUAAACUGCUUUUGUACGGAACGAAAAGCCUGGGGCUAAUAUCCCCGGGUCAUGACGGUACCGUAAGAAUAAGCACCGGCUAACUACGUGCCAGCCGCCGCGGUAAGAC
rnacentral:rRNA from 1 species